AAAAAAUAUGAAUUUUAAUUCGUCCAAAAACACUGUCCUACUUUUUAUUCCAAAGCCGAGAGGAAGGGGUACGCCUCAAAAAUGUUGGUGGGUGGAGCCGCCAGACUAGUGAUGAGAGUAACUAGUAAUGACAAUUUUGUAGUAAAAUCUUGGUAAAAAUUUUAGAGAUAAUAAUUGGUAAAAAAUCGAAUUUGAAUGGUAUCUUGUGUAACAGGAGAUGCCAACAGCGAUUAACGAAACUGACUAUAGCCUAUAUACAAAACCCGGACGUUAGUGCGUUUUCAGGAUAAGUUAAACUUAGCCGGGACAAUGUGAAGGCAAGGGGGGGGGCAGAUUUUCAUGAAAGGGCACUUUUGAAUUGAUAUAUACUAAGAGAUGUUUGCAAAACAUCGGGAGUUGAACUUCGCCUAAUCCUGUUUUCUAUUU